rnacentral:rRNA from 1 species
UCAGACGUAACCCUCGAUUGCCCUACAACCAACAAUCCGCCAGAGAACUACAAGUGACAAACUUUAAACUCUAAGGACCUGGCGGUAUCCCACUCGUACUAGAGGAGCCUGUCCUGUAAUCGAUACUCCACGCUGCACCUCACCCCCCCUUGCUACCCCAAUCUAUAUACCGCCGUCGCCAGCUCACAAUGUGAAUGCACCACCGUGAGCAAAAUUAUUAAACCAUAAACACGACAGGUCAAGGUGUAGUUUACGGGGGGGGAGAGAUGGGCUACAUUUUCUCCACCAGAAAAUACCACCCGCACCGUGAAAUCUACGCUCACAGGCGGAUUUAGAAGUAAGCCUGGCAAGACGUGCCAACCUGAAAAAGCUCUGGGAUGC